CAGCGCUCCCUCCGCCAGUCUCACACGUCAGUCCUCAGAGGCGAGGUGUGGGCAGGCCUUCGUCCCUUCGGACCGCAUCCCCGGAAGACCCAAACCGUCGCAUUCUUUUCUGCUUGGCUCACGACGUUUCCAAGCGCCAGAAUCGUUCUCCUGGGAGACCCACCCUUCCUUACCUAUCAAAAGUCACAAAACAACUUCAGAAGUAAAAGAAGCAGGAAAAAGAAAAUAGCCAAAACAAACCAAUACCUGAACAAUUCAACCAAGAGAGAUCCAAGUGAGGCAUGUCUACGGCUACCACAGGGGGGAAACUGAGGCGUGGAAAAUGAAGGCCGGGGGAGAGCUCCUGCUCCAGGAGACAGAGAAAGAGGAGCCUAAGGUCCUACCCUUGGGGAAUGCCUAUUCUGGGCACAGACAGGGAUGACUUAAGAGGGAGCUCCUUUCCUCAGAAUCCCAGGGCUCAUUAUGAGGGGGUCAGCGGUCUGUCAUCAGGCGGCUUGGCAUCGUGGUACAGCAAGUCUGGGAGACUCCAGAGGUCAGAAGUCCAGAUAUGGUCUACCUAGGUCCUCUGUGGAAAUCAAGGUGUUGGCCUCCUACUCUCCAA